GGCGUCACCUUGGGAUGGCCUUGCGGUGCAUUAGCUAGUUGGUGGGGUAAUGGCCCACCAAGGCGACGAUGCAUAGCCGACCUGAGAGGGUGAUCGGCCACACUGGGACUGAGACACGGCCCAGACUCCUACGGGAGGCAGCAGUAGGGAAUCUUCCACAAUGGACGAAAGUCUGAUGGAGCAACGCCGCGUGAGUGAUGAAGGUUUUCGGAUCGUAAAACUCUGUUGUAAGGGAAGAACAGGUAUGAGAGGUAAUGCUCAUGCUAUGACGGUACCUUGCGAGAAAGCCACGGCUAACUACGUGCCAGCAGCCGCGGUAAUACGUAGGUGGCAAGCGUUGUCCGGAAUUAUUGGGCGUAAAGCGCGCGCAGGCGGCCUUUUAAGUCUGAUGUGAAAGCCCCCGGCUCAACCGGGGAGGGUCAUUGGAAACUGGAAGGCUUGAGUACAGAAGAGAAGAGUGGAAUUCCAUGUGUAGCGGUGAAAUGCGUAGAGAUGUGGAGGAACACCAGUGGCGAAGGCGACUCUUUGGUCUGUAACUGACGCUGAGGCGCGAAAGCGUGGGGAGCAA
rnacentral:rRNA from 2 species